CCUGUGCUCUCCUGCACCAGUUUUCAGGUUUUCCUGAAUUGUUGUUUGGCCUUCCCAGGCUGACCUUGGAUCUGACUUCUUCCCUGGCCUUUGAUGAUCACAGGACGAUUGAUGGGGACAGUUGAUGGAGCCUGUCACCAUUCCCUCUCUGCUCACCCCCUUCAGGGGCUGGCUUGAGUUUACCUGGUCUCCCAGCCCUUGGUCCAAGGCUGUAGGACAGCUGGGAGAGGAAUUUGGCUUUCCUCCUUGGGAGAGGGUGUGUGCUGAGCUCCUGGCUAUGGACAGGUCACUCAGCUGCUGGGCUGCUUCUCCCCUGGCUCAGCCUCUCACAGCCAAGGCUUCCAGUGCUCCCUGCAGGAGUGUGGCUUUAAAGGGACACUGCACUGUACAAGCUCAGGUAUCUGAAGGGACUCUGAUGUGUCACACUGGAUGGCUGCUUGAGAUUUGGCAAAUGUCAACAAAAAUAGAUCUUUGUCCCCUCAGAGAGGUGCUCUGCUGCUAGCUGCAUCCUGGGUUGGUGUGGAGCUUGUGCUUGGAUCUCAAACAGGGCUGUGGUGUCUGUGUGGGACACUCUGUCAACACAGCAUGCUGGGGGUCAGAAGGCUGCCUGGGAUGUGACACCUGUGACAAUGGGUACAACUGCCUCUGAUGUGUCCAUGGCCACUUCUUGGGACUCCACCUUGAGCACAAAGCUUGAGAAGAGCGCGGAGGGACUUUGUGUUUAAUCUGUCACAGCAAACACUCAGUUCUCAGUGUUCAUGCACUCAUGGGUCAUUUCUGUGUUUUGUCCUCAUUUAAUGGAGAAGUGAGGGGUUUUUGUGCCCUCAGUGCAACUUCUAAAAGACAAUUUAAUGGCUGCACUCAAACAUAAAAGGGGAGAGGGCCAGGGCUGGCUCAGUCAACAGUGUUUGAGCAUAAUACCCUAUGGGAGAGUAACAGAAUCUGUCUGUGUCAUAAAUAACACUGAACAGCUUAUUUUGGCAAAGAAUUUUCAUUCCUGACAAAUGCCAUGUUGAGACAACCAAUAACCACCUGCUGAUUUGGGAUGAAAUUAGAAUUUGAAUGGUCAGGUCAGCUCAGAUGCAGUGUUGGUGGGUUUCCAGUGGAGACUCUCACAUGUCUGAUAGGAAAUAAUCUUUAUGAGGCUUUCAGAGGCAAGGGAAUACUCAGGCUUACAAAUCCUUACACUGUUUUAUUGGGAAUGCCCAUAUCAGAGGAUUGCUAAGUAAAGCACAUUACAUAAGACUGCCCUUUGAGGUGCUAAGGUCUCGUAACUGGGACAUAUUUUCAAGUCUAUCAGAAUGAUUUCAGCAUCUCAUGAGUUGUCAGCACUUCUCUGUUUUUUUGAAGCAGAUGUUUUUUCUCUUCUACCACAUUAAAUGGGAUCUUCUGUGUUGUGCCAACAGUAAAGGUGCAUA